rnacentral:rRNA from 1 species
ACCCUAUAAAACUUAAUAAUUUGAUUGGGUCUUUGAAUUCGGUUUAAUAGGGGCUUGAGUAAGAUUAUUAUGCUGGGGAGGCAGGGAUAAAAAUUUAUUAACUGUUAUGAAAUGAAAAUAAAGAUAAUUAGUUGGUGACCCUUAAUUUAGGUUUAAGAGUUAAAGUUACUUUAGGGAUAACAGCGUAAUUUCUCUUGAGAGUUCAUAUCGACAGAGAUAGUUGCGACCUCGAUGUUGAAUUAAAACUUCCUGUAGGAGUAGAAGUUUAUGGGGCAGGUCUGUUCGACCUUUAAAGUUUU